rnacentral:misc_RNA from 1 species
UCCUGGUUAACCCAGGCAGUCUCGUCAGAGUGCCCAACUUAAUGCUGGCAACAGACGAUAGGGGUUGCGCUCGUUGCGAGACUUAACCCAACAUUUCACAACACGAGCUGACGACAGCCAUGCAGCACCUCUCACUACAUUUCCUUGCGGACACCCUCUCCAUUACAAGAGGUUCGUAGGAGUUCAAGCCUAGGUAAGGUUCUGCGCGUUGCUUCGAAUUAAACCACAUAAUCCACCGCUUGUGCGGGCCCCCGUCAAUUUGUUUGAGUUUUAGUCUUGCGACCGUACUCCCCAGGCGGAAUACUUAAUGCGUUAGCUGCGUCACUGAGGGAGUCAAUACCCCCAAUAACUAGUAUUCAUCGUUUACGGCGUGGACUAC